rnacentral:rRNA from 1 species
CAUUCACGGAGAGUUUGAUCCUGGCUCAGGACGAACGCUGGCGGCGUGCUUAACACAUGCAAGUCGAACGAUGAACCGCUUUCGGGCGGGGAUUAGUGGCGAACGGGUGAGUAACACGUGGGCAAUCUGCCCUGCACUCUGGGACAAGCCCUGGAAACGGGGUCUAAUACCGGAUAUGACUGUCCAUCGCAUGGUGGAUGGUGUAAAGCUCCGGCGGUGCAGGAUGAGCCCGCGGCCUAUCAGCUUGUUGGUGAGGUAGUGGCUCACCAAGGCGACGACGGGUAGCCGGCCUGAGAGGGCGACCGGCCACACUGGGACUGAGACACGGCCCA